rnacentral:rRNA from 1 species
CCUACGGGGGGCAGCAGUGGGGAAUAUUGGUCAAUGGGCGCGAGCCUGAACCAGCCAAGUCGCGUGAGGGAAGACGGCCCUACGGGUUGUAAACCUCUUUUGCCGGGGAGCAACGGGCGCCACGUGUGGCGCCCCUGAGAGUACCCGGAGAAAAAGCCUCGGCUAACUCCGUGCCAGCAGCCGCGGUAAUACGGAGGAUGCGAGCGUUAUCCGGAUUUAUUGGGUUUAAAGGGUGCGUAGGCGGCGCGUUAAGUCAGUGGUCAAAUUGAGGGGCUCAACCCCUUCCCGCCAUUGAAACUGGUGCUCUUGAGUGGAAGAGAAGUAUGCGGAAGGCGUGGUGUAGCGGUGAAAUGCAUAGAUAUCACGCAGAACCCCGAUUGCGAAGGCAGCAUGCCGGCUUCCGACUGACGCUGAAGCACGAAAGCGUGGGGAUCGAACAGGAUUAGAUACCCGGGUAGUC